AUGUAUGAGAAAGAGAGGGAACAGCUCGAUCCCUUCAAGACAGAUCUACUCUGUAGGACCAAGUGGCAGGAACAAACUGCCUGGUAAAGGGUGCAGGCCAGAAUGGCUGUUUGAAAGUAUCUACAGUGCAGCAGUAAGCAUACCAGCCAAAAAUACUUGUUAUCUAUUCAGUCUGAAAGAGGGAGAACAACUGCUCAGCACUGUUUAUCUUGUGGUUUCAGGUUUGUAUCUGUUCAAGCCCAAAGUGACAAGGGCACAAACCCUGCCAGGUUUAUUUUUAUGAGUUAGCUGAGCACAGGCAGUGCAUAUGAGGAAUGGCCAGCUCCUAGGUGUGAGCUAGACUGGACCAGUUGAGAUUAAAGAGACUGCGUGUGCUCUCUUUUUGGCAUUAAAACACCAAAUCCAUACUUGGGCAGUGGAAGAUAAGGAGGACCCAGGGCAUCUCACAUCUGCAAGACAGGCAGAUGUCAUAGUGCUGGAAAAGUGUUCACAAGUGCCUGUCCAAGGAACAAAACCUGGCAGUGCAUCUGUUCCCUGGAAAGGGCUCCCUGUGCGUACUGCACAGAGCCACCAUGCAGCCCUUGUUAUCUUGCCAUGGAUUGUCAAGGUGAGAUUCCCAGACAGCUCUGUGUUUCAGGAUUGUGAUCAUGUCUAGAAACACAUUUGUUGUCUGAAAAGUUGGGCGUAAAGCCCAGUCCCACAUGGUUAAAGGUGGUUUAUGAAAUUCCUUCACCUGAUGGUAGGAUACCCUGGGCAGGAAUCUGGGUUGGGCUGUGCUGCUGCCCAUUGCACGCCAGCUGAAGUGAUGCAGCUGCAUUCAGGACACUUCCCUCUGUUGAGUCAAGCUCUAUUCUCCAGUGUAAUACCAUCAAGGCCCAGAAGGCAUUAUUAUUGGAUCUAAAAACAACAUUUGGGUUAGCAUAAGCCAAGAAAAGCAAAGAAUAUGCUUGCACCAGCUCCCAUUAAAUUUGGGAAAGGAAUUUCAUUCUUAUAGAACUUUUUAGGUAGAUGGGUUCAGCUGCUGCUUGGCAAUUUCCACAUUGCUCUGUGCCUAAGUCUCUCUAGUGGUAAAUAGCUCUGGUCUCCUUUGUGAUCUCUGGGUUGGCCUUUGAUUAUCAUCAGGCUCCAGCUGGCCACUCUGUACCUCAUGCUCUAAAGGGAGCCACUCAGACUAUCUGUGAUUGAUGCUGCUCUGCCUGAUGGUGCUCCCCAUGCAGACGUGCUCUCAGAAAGCAAGGUCAGCUGCUAUCAGGGGAAACUACAGCUGUUCUUCUGAUUUAAUUCAUUUAUUGACUUGUGAGUGCAUCCAGCUUGGGGUGGUGACAGAUCACUGAGGUGCUGUAUGAGGUGUGUGUUUCUGGGGACAGGAAGGAGAAGGAGUUCGCUCACACCUUGCCCUUCAGUGUCGCCUUGGAGCAAAUCAGCAGAAAGCAGAAUCACCACCAAGAUAAACUCUGCUCCCUCGGCUUUCCUGUAGCGAAGAUCGCCAUGUCCUCACUGAUGCGUGGCUGGAUGUCUGUGCUAUGGGACAGAACUGUUUUUGUGAUUUAUCCACCACAGACCAGUGCCAAGCACUAUAAUUUCAAAGAUCCUUCUGCAAGGACAAAUAACUUGGCUUUUGGUCUUGUAGGUAGACUUGCUCACUGGAACAAGGUGGUUGUUACCCCAUAGAAGAUUUCAUCCCACUAAUAAGGAGAGCAAGAAGCAUGUCAAAGAGACAGUAAUUAGUAUAGGGCAGCUGAACACUGCAGCCUGGUCUGUUAGGGAACAUUUCAACUUACUUUAUUUUCAGAAUUGUUACCUGAAUCAAAUGUUUAUGGAAAAGUGGCAUUUGCCUAACAUUUCUCAGGCUGAGAAAUAGGUGGUUGAUACAAUAAUAUCCAUUUGUUUUUAAAGAGCUAUUUAGUAUGGGCAGAGUGGGCUAGAUCUCUCAAAGGUAUAUAGAACCAUGCUUUCCUUGGGAAUACACAGAAAUAAAAACAGCAUGUUUGUUUUUGCCUGGCUCAUUUAUUGCUUACAGUUCGACUUCUUUUACGAAGGCAAGGUGAAUUUAAAUGCAAAGCAGCAGAGAAAUCCACUAGGAGGAAGAUUAGGGAGUCUUGCCAUUACAGCAAUGACAGUAUGAAUAUGAAGAGCAAGCGCGACUUUAUUUUUUGGAUGCCCACUUUCAAUUGCCAUCACCUGAGUGUGGCUGGCAGAGGGUGCAGUAGCACAGCUUGCUGCCUCUGCUUAUCAGGAGAGCCAGCUUCCAAAGGCUCAAUGUCAUGGAGACCUUCAGAGGGUCCAGAGUGACGCAACUACAUCAGUGCUUGCUGCUCUGCUUCUGACCUUGCAGAAAGCAUUUAUUGCUGGGGUCCAGUUUGUGGGGAAAGGCUUGAGUCAGGCUAUUUUCUCAGAGUGUUGUGUCCUCCUUUGAGCUUCUUCCAUGUCUCGAUUAAAAAAAAAAUAAUCCACAAAAGAAACAUUUCUUGGCAAAGGAAUGGGAACAGCCAAAUUAUUCUUUAAGUUUCUAAUCUAGAGCCCAGUGCCAGUAUCUGCUGCCAAUAGCUUUGCACCCACCUUCCCUCGUCUCAUGCCUAUACCAUCUCAGUGCCCAUCUUCUCUUGUAACCACAGCUGCUUUGUGCACCUUGGUGACAAUCUGCACACUGCUGGCUGCCACUCCCCAGCAUUCAGUGUCCAUCAUUAGCUCUUGUCUCAUUGCAGGAAAAAUAUUCCUACAAUUACGACUGUGGGAUCAAGUCACUACACUACAUGUACUAAAAUCAGUGUAAAUAUGAUACUUGACUCCUGCAGAAAGUCUGGUCCUGCUUCAAUGAUAAUACUGCUGAUUUCACUGUAAUGGAAAAGUGCAAUGCAAGGAGAGCAAUGAACGCUAUCAGAACUAUUACAAGAGACAAAUAACUGCAUUCAUUGCAAAAUUUUCUGUUGCAGAUCAUAAAAAACAAAUGAAGAAAUGUUUUCUCCAGUGAAUGUUUACUUUUUCCUGUCUGUUUUUAAUGUUAAGAGUCUUUUUGGCCAUAUUUAAUGAUGUUGAAUGAUGUGUUAUUCCAUGGAGAGGGAUAACCAGCAACAGAUUCAGGGUCUUAGUGAGAGCUGAAAAAUGAAGAAAAAGAGCUGAGGCAGACAGUAAAAUCCACCUUAUGAUAAUUAAUACCUGGCUCUCUUCCUUGUCAGAGGAGUCAGUCCAAUUUUUCCAUCCUGAGGGACAAAGAAAACUCCAGCCCAAUUGACUGUUGGUGUGGAUUGGCCAAAACUGCAAAGAAAAUAAGUGUCCAUGAGAGAGCACAGAGCAGCUCUCAUUUUGCAUCUUACUGGCAGCACAAAGUGACCAGCACUUCUGCAGCAGAUUAUGGGAUCACAUCUCCUGUUAUGGUGAAACACUCAGAAAGCAGAACGCAUACAACCGUGAUGUCUUCUCUGCUUCUCAAAAUACUUCUCCUGUGGUUAAAUAAAACUCUGAGCACAGGACUCGCCUGCAUGAGGAAGACAAGUGGCACAGCCUCACCCUGACCUUCAGGAAGCCUUGGUGCAAAUGACACUCCAUUCCCAGGACCUGCUAGGAUCCUCCCCACCAACCACACUGGGAGUUACUCUGUGCACAACAAACAACUGCCAUCCAGCCUGGUGGUGACAGCAGGGCAACCUCGGUUUGGCCAUUUAGGGGCACCACAGGGGCUAUGACACUCAGAUGUUAAACUGAAAAGCAGUAGAAACAGACAUGUAACUCUUUGGGCUCCUUGUAGCCCUCACCUAUUUUUAGUAAAAUUUGUGGAAACGUUUCUGCAUCAUUGCUGUUAUUUGACUAAUAUAUUUUCACUUCCAUUCUGUUUGGAACAAAUAGAUCUGUUUUCCUAACCCAUCACUAAACACAGCCUCGUUGACUCAGGAUGCAAGGCUCAUCACCUUGUACUGGAGGUGGGUCCACGGAUGGAGCUGCACAAGAUACAGCUGAGAAAGCUGCAGAGAUACUGUGGCCCUUUAAUCUCAUUUUAUAUUUCAUCAAUUCCUAAAUAUAUCUAGCAAAAGAAGUACACAAUUUGUAUUGGUUUCUAGUUGCUACUAAAAUGAAGUUCUGGAAGCUCUGGGAAAUUAUUCUGGAUGCUUUUUAUGCGAAGUACUGUUAAUGCAGCAGCUAAAUCCACUUAUAAACUGAAUAUUUCUUCCUUAGCAAUACAUAAAGAAAGUCCCAUAAUUCUUAUACAAGGAGAAGAAAUAUAUCUGUGAAAGCCACACCCUAAACAAAGCACUGUUGUCAUCAAGGCCUCUGGCAGAAUGAAGGCAUUAAGUCCAAGAAUACAUCUUCAUGGUGGGCAGAUGGCUGUCAGCAUGACUUACAUCUUUACUUUUCUAUUUAUCACACCCCUUUACAUGGCACUUCUUGGCAGAAUCUGCAGACACAAGCCUAACUUUGUACAGCUUCAGUCGGAUACAAACAGAUUCUGGAUGUUUACCUGAAAAGCCCUCUUUAGUCUGGAAACUGUUGAUACCAUGAGGAUAUGACAAAUUUAUUCUGUUUCAUGGGACUUCUAUGGCAGAGGAGGUUCCUGGUGCAGGACAUACACAGUGCUGACUAUGUGAUGUUUCACUCUGUGCUCAUUUCAUCAAAAGAGAUGCUUCUGUUUGCUGUUUGCUUCUUUCAAUCGCAAGGAAGUACAGUGGGAUUUCUCACAUUGUAACUCUCUAACAACCUUUUCCAGGACUCAGAGCUUGUAUUUGGCCUGAACCUUAGAAAAUAUUCAGGCCAAAGCUCAUUAUGUACAAACUGCUUUUCUUCCCUUUAAACCAACAUGAAAGAAAAAAAAAAAAAAAAAAAAAAAGAAAACCCACAGAAGAAAAAGCUGAAGUCUCAGUUCUGCAAACGGAGCUCAGCAGUUCAGAUUGCCAGUGCAGUGGCAUUUCUCCAAGACCUGGGUUUGCCUCCUGUCAUACGUGUCCUGGGGAAUGCCUGGAGACUGCACAUCCUGCACACACAGAGUGUUUGAGGAAAAUUUAUAAAGAACAAGCGUUACGGAAUUCUUAGCUCAUCAUUUUUUUAAUCACUCAGACCAUAACUGUGCAAGAAUUUGCAGCAUUUUAGAGAGUUGUAUUCGUGGGAAGCAAAAAGUAUAGGAAAUAUAUGAUCUCUCUUCAGAAGUGAUCCUGUUUAUUUCACAUAUCUCUCAAAGUCAUUGAUUCUUCAGAACUUCUCAAACUAAUCCAGACUAAAAGCAAAGCCGCACAAUGGAGUUUGAUGCUAUUUUUGCCACAGUCAAAGUGAAAGCUCCCUUUGUAAGCAGUAAAGCCCUGGAGGGAAUGUGCUAGGCAAGAGAGAUUAAACCUUCUAUGUAUUGUAUAACAAAACACGUUGUAAGGUUGAUUACAAUAAAAGCCUUCCAAAGCGA